rnacentral:lncRNA from 1 species
CGGAUAAUAUUGAUUGAUUGUUCAGUCUAUUUUUAAUUAUAAGAAGAGAAGUGAUAAUCCUAAACGUAUUGACGACUUCUGGCCGAAGCGACAGAAGUGUCGGAAGAGCUUGUGAUACUCCCCCUCGAAAUUUGAGGACUUCUGGCCGAAGCGACAGAAGUGUCGAGAGAGCUUGUGAUACUCCCCCUCGAAAUGUGACGACUUCUGGCCGGAGCGACAGAAGCGUCGGGAGUAUUUGUGAUACUCUUUAUUGAAAAUGUGACGACUUCUGUCCGAAGUGACAGAAGUGUCGGGGGAGUUUGUGAUACUCCUCCUUGAAAAUCGUGCCUUUUGCGACACAUAACCCUUUGAAUGAGUGGUUUUUUGAAAUACUGGAGUAUUCGAAACUCAAGGGUUACCUUUGUAAUUUUGAACCCUGAUACUGGAGAGAGCUUGUGAUGUUCUCUCUUGAGAUGCGACGACUUCUGGCCGAAGCGGCAGAAGUGUCGGGGAGGGCGCUUGUGAUACUCCCUCCCGAAAAUGUGACGACUUCUGGCCGA